rnacentral:lncRNA from 1 species
GCUUGGGAUACAACAGCCACCACGUCAUUGCGUCCUUCUUGCCAUCUCAUGGUGUAUGAUGUGCACAAAUUAUACCUAUCUAGUUUUGAAUUUAUAACCUAACGAACUUAACUAGCUAGAAUGCACGUAGGCAGUGUACCUAGUCGAAUUAAAGAAUCGUCUAGGUAAGUUGGGUGUCGAUCACGGGGAACGGUAUUUAAUUAAUAAAAUAACUACUAAAAGCUAAACUAAGAAAGACAACAAAAAUGAGGGUUUUAUCUAAUUUUACAAGUUUAGAAAAACUUAAAUUAAAAUAGCAAACUAAUGACUAAAGUAAACAACUAGAAAGAUGAUUUCAAAUCAAGAAUAAUGGAUACUUUCGUUUAGCUUCGAACCCUUCCUGUUUCCUAUGGUUGAUUUCAAGACAAUGGAUUAAUUCUGCUAGCUACCAAAUAAUAGUUACUAGUCAUCAUGAUCAUACUAACUAGCAUAAGUCAAUUUAACAACUUUAAACCUAAUGAUCAUGCAAGUAAAGGAUACUAAAUUGAUUUUAAAGGUAAUUUGGACUUUGAAUGAUAUAAUCUACAGACUACUAUUCUUCUGUUAAGUCUAGUAAUUGAGAAAAUAUUAUGAUCAAAUACUGCUCUUUAACACAAUUAAGCAACUAACUUAUCACCUAUACUAGGAUAUGGUCAAUCUCUAGCUCUAGCAAUUUAAUGGUCAUAAACAACUAGGUAAACCAAGUUCAUGCAACUAACUGUAUUUUAACUACACAAAACUUGAGACAAGGCAAUAAAGAUAGAAACUUUAACAAUCUAGGUGUAGAUUUAUCAAACAAUAUUUAAAGCAAAAACCAGCUUCAUCAAUCCAUAAAACAAGAAACCAAAUAAUAGUUACUAGUCAUCAUGAUCAUACUUACAAUGGAUUAAUUAUGGGUUGGGUCCAAUGUACGGGCUAGACCCAAUAAUAUGUAUGGUAUAUGGUAUUUUGGGGAACUCACUAAGCUUUGUGCUUACAGUUAUGUGUUUAUGGUACUGCCUGUUGCAACGUGAAGGGUCUGGCGUGACUGUACAACAUCCCCUAGUGUUUUCCACAUUGGCUAUUAUGACAUUUACUAUGAUCAUAAAAUGAUUUAAUUACUAUAACUGGAUUUUGGGACAAAUCAAUUGGAUGGUUUAAAUGUUUUUAAAAUGAAACUUUUACUCAAAAAUUUUGGGAUCUUACACCUUACUUCACAAGCUUCACCAAAAUCAAGAAACCAAUCUCAAGAUCAAGCCACCAAGCUCUUUAUCAUGGGAAGGGGAUAUGGUUUCGAAAUGAAGAGAUAGAUGUUGAAGGAGGUGAACUAAUACAAGAAUUAUGGUGGUUGAAUAUGGGAUAAACCCUAAAAAUCAUGGGCUUGGGAUACAACAGCCACCACGUCAUUGCGUCCUUCUUGCCAUCUCAUGGUGUAUGAUGUGCACAAAUUAUACCUAUCUAGUUUUGAAUUUAUAACCUAACGAACUUAACUAGCUAGAAUGCACGUAGGCAGUGUACCUAGUCGAAUUAAAGAAUCGUCUAGGUAAGUUGGGUGUCGAUCACGGGGAACGGUAUUUAAUUAAUAAAAUAACUACUAAAAGCUAAACUAAGAAAGACAACUAAAAUGAGGGUUUUAUCUAAUUUUACAAGUUCAGAAAAACUUAAAUUGAAAUAACAAACUAAUGACUAAAGUAAACAACUAGAAACUAGAAAGACAAUUUCAAAUCAAGAAUAAUGGAUACUUUCGUUUAGCUUCGAACCCUUCCUGUUUCCUAUGGUUGAUUUCAAGACAAUGGAUUAAUUCUGCUAGCUACCAAAUAAUAGUUACUAGUCAUCAUGAUCAUACUAACUAGCAUAAGUCAAUUUAACAACUUUAAACCUAAUGAUCAUGCAAGUUAAGGACACUAAAUUGAUUUUAAAGGUAAUUUGGACUUUGAAUGAUAUAAUCUACAGACUACUAUUCUUCUGUUAAGUCUAGUAAUUGAGAAAAUAUUAUGAUCAAAUACUGCUCUUUAACACAAUUAAGCAACUAACUUAUCACCUAUACUAGGAUAUGGUCAAUCUCUAGCUCUAGCAAUUUAAUGGUCAUAAACAACUAGGUAAACCAAGUUCAUGCAACUAACUGUAUUUUAACUACGCAAAACUUGAGACAAUGCAUUAAAGAUAGAAACUUUAACAAUCUAGGUGUAGAUUUAUCAAACAAUAUUUAAAGCAAAAACCAGGUUCAUCAAUCCAUAAAACAAGAAACCAAAUAAUAGUUACUAGUCAUCAUGAUCAUACUUACAAUGGAUUAAUUAUGGGUUGGGUUCAAUCUACGGGAUAGACCCAAUAAUAUGUAUGGUAUAUGGUAUUUUAGGGAACUC